rnacentral:tRNA from 1 species
GGCGCAGUAGUCGCACCGCCCUCCGAGGGCGGGUGCGCAGGUUCGAAUCCUGCCGGGGCUC